rnacentral:lncRNA from 1 species
GGGGGUGGUGACGGGUGGCGGUAUCCUUCCUCCCUGGUACAGGGGUCCCAGGGAGAGUCACCUCUAGGGGCUUCCAGGGCGUGUGGGCCCGGCCCCCCCCCCAGGGCGUGUGGGGGUGGACGGGGGUCCACGCGGGCCCAGGGGGUGAAGAGAAACGCGCUCGUUAGAGAAUUCCGCGGCCUACACGCCGCCCCCUAACUAAAAUAGAGAGAUGGUAGAUUUCCCCUGGGCGGACAGGUGUCAGCAUGUGCCUUUCAGUGUCAACCCGCGUGUGGCUGAUUGGUGAGAUACAAGUCUUGUGAAAUUCAAACGUGAAACUUGUGAAAUCCAAAGUGUUUUAUUAAUGGCCACCAGCGAGCCAUGAUCAAGGUGGAGCCUUCCAGCGAAACCAACGAUUGGCUCGUUGGCAGGUACACCCAAGGGAGGCUUCAUACCUUGAGGUGACUUAGAUGGUGUUCUGGAGAUACGCAGGCCCACUUGGGGACCUGGGCCCUUCCGUUGGGACUGUAAAUAAAAAUAAAAGGUGGGCCAGAGGUCGCCUGGAAGCGCUUUGAGGGCAGGGGCCGAGCACGCAGGCCAUCUCCGCCACGCCUGGCCCGCCCGGCGCCCGGCUUAACAAAGACUUGUUGCACCGAGCGAGAAGGAAGCCAAAGGG